CUCGCAGGAGAGGGCUGGGCAGAGGAACCACGACGGCCAUGCGGAAGCCACACAAGAGCGAUCCAAUGUCUCAUCUCCACCCUCAAUCAUGGCCUCCACUGAUGCCAAAGUAAACCCAUUCAGCUUCAGGAGGCUUUCCAGCAAACAAAGCAUAGUUUGUAUGACAGAUCUUUGUGUGACAGAGAAUCACGGGCAUUUGAAAUGACACAACUGGAAGCUAAAUCCAACAGCAGGGAGACGCUUACCAAGGCAAGGUAUGACACCCCUGCUUGGUCUCACUGCCUCCCAUCUCUGCUCCAUCCAAUCUAUCUUCCAGCCCAGAAGUGAAGGUUUUGUGCCAAAAUGCAUUCACCCAUCCAAACAUUCAAUAAAUAUCUACUAAGCACCCACUAAAGAUUAGGUGUGCGUGAAGCCCUGGUGACAAAGAAAUAAAGAGACCCAGCCUCUUCCCUUAAAUAGCCAGUGAACGGUGCAAAGGCAGGGCAAUAAACCAUGGCAUGGUUUGAAAAACGAGCAUGAGGACUGCCAAGGGUCCCUUUGGGAAAUGCUGAACAGAG